GACGGACCACACAAACGUUAUUCGGAAUUACUGGGCUUAAAGGGUGCGUAGGCUGUGCAGAAAGUUGGGUGUGAAAUCCCUCGGCUUAACCGAGGAAUUGCGCCCAAAACUACUGUGCUUGAGGAAGACAGAGGUAAGCGGAACUUAGGGUGGAGCGGUGAAAUGCGUUGAUAUCCUAAGGAACACCGGUGGCGAAAGCGGCUUACUGGGUCUUUUCUGACGCUGAGGCACGAAAGCUAGGGUAGCGAACGGG
rnacentral:rRNA from 1 species